AGUGGAAAUCCUUUUGUGCCGGCGUUCGGCACAAAAGAUUGAAACGGAUAGCAGGAAAUAGC
rnacentral:sRNA from 1 species